rnacentral:lncRNA from 1 species
GCUCUUUGGAUAUGUUCAUUGCUGAUCUAAUUUCACCCUCUUUAAAACCACAGGAAAUAAUCACAGUUGUAGCAUCACAGUGUGUCUUUGUCAGCACUUUCUGCACUUCAACAAUGAUGGCGGGUGCUCAGCUCUUAGGAUUUCUCCAGUAAGAAAGCCAUGUCCAUGUAGGCUCUGAAUCAGGAGGAUCUUUUACUUUAUCCAUAGCAAUACGACUGGUUCCACUAAUAACAUGAAAGGCUGGAACACUUUUUUAUCUUUCCAUGAAGGAGAGAAACGACUUGGAGUGUCAGGAGAGAGAGAGAGAGAAAGAGCACUCACAGCAGACAAAUGCACGAGCCAUGGCAUGAAAACAACAAUUUCAAGAACACUACUUCAUUCAUGUAAACCUUUUAGCUACGCUAGCUGCACGGCUCCAAGGAUAGCAAUGUCAUCCAUCACUUUGAGUCCAGACUGGAAUGUCUCAACAACUAUUAGAUGGACUUUUCAUCUGGCGCCAUCAUCAGCCUCAAGCGAGACCUGCAAUCCAGACAGGAUGAGUCACUUCAGAGGUAACUAAACUGGGAAUAUUAACAACGCUCCGUGCCAGCAAAAGGAACAUUUGAGAGUUCAUCACAGAUAAGCCUCUGAAAAUGGACGCCUUCAUCACCUCCCAGUCAGGAGGCGACGUGAAGAUCCUGUCUGUGCUUCCUGGAGAUAAAAUGUUCCUCUUCAGGAAAGACACAGAUUGCAUCCGUGUGCUGGCCUCUCAGGCUCAGCAAGAAGCAAAUAACUUUCUGUCCGCCUUCGUGGACGAUGAAAAGCAUGAAAAGUUUUGUUCCAAAAAGACUUUGCUGCUCUACGAUGUGUGGAACACCUUUGUUCAUGUGUUCAUUGUUCUCUGCUAAAGUAGAAGAUUGCAUUAUGUUGCCGUCACAAGCAGGUCUGAAUUAACUUGUUGAUUUAUUUAUUUCUCUCUCGAUGCCUCCAAUUAAAACGUCUGCUCAGCUUCACGCUCCUCCUGCCUCUCCUUUUGUCCUUACAAAGUAAAACGCAGUUACACAUUCAUCCGGAGUCACUCUCCUUGCGUGACUGUCCCUCUCUGAUCAUCUGCUUUAGUCCAGAUCUCACGAUAGUUGCUAAACAGUGAAGGCUUUAUUCUUACAGAUCGGCUGCUAAAUUAGAUGACAUGCUCGGAGGUCUCCAUCAGCCACAUGGUUGUUUUGAAAAAGAGAAAUU